rnacentral:sRNA from 1 species
CUCAAGGCGGCGGCUGGAGGCUGUUUUGGAUAUCGCUGUUAAAUUUGAGAUGGUGCGGGCCGAUCGCCGGCCGGACUUCGGGGCACUGUUUGGUCGUCAGGGCGCAUUCGGCGUCGGGCGGUGUACCGCGCCGCGCACAUCGCGUAUCGGCACCAUUCAGUCCUCGAAGUCACGUGGGCCGGA